rnacentral:lncRNA from 1 species
ACCGCUAGUAACCGUUGUAUAACUUUACACGCCUGAAAACGAAUAUUUGCGUGAAACAUUUUUGUAUGAUUUUUAUUUCUGGAAAUCAAUCUGAAAUCUACAACAGUCCAUUUCCGAAAGUCGGGCUGGACCUUUACUUUUAUGUGCAUUCGGGAUUUACACAAAUUGUAACCCGAAUAUUUCAGCUGAUGUACGAAUGCUAC